AGGGAAUCUUCCGCAAUGGACGAAAGUCUGACGGAGCAACGCCGCGUGAGUGAAGAAGGCCUUCGGGUCGUAAAACUCUGUUGCCGGGGAAGAACAAGUGCCGUUCGAAUAGGGCGGUACCUUGACGGUACCUAACCAGAAAGCCACGGCUAACUACGUGCCAGCAGCCGCGGUAAUACGUAGGUGGCAAGCGUUGUCCGGAAUUAUUGAGCGUAAAGCGCGCGCAGGCGGCUUCUUAAGUCUGAUGUGAAAGCUUGCGGCUCAACCGCAAGCGGUCAUUGGAAACUGGGAGGCUUGAGUGCAGAAGAGGAGAGUGGAAUUCCACGUGUAGCGGUGAAAUGCGUAGAGAUGUGGAGGAACACCAGUGGCGAAGGCGGCUCUCUGGUCUGUAACUGACGCUGAGGCGCGAAAGCGUGGGGAGCAAAC
rnacentral:rRNA from 1 species